AGUGAACGCUGGCGGCAGGCCUAACACAUGCAAGUCGAACGGAAGCACAGUAAGAGCUUGCUCUUACGGGUGGCGAGUGGCGGACGGGUGAGGAAUACAUCGGAAUCUACUUUUUCGUGGGGGAUAACGUAGGGAAACUUACGCUAAUACCGCAUACGACCUACGGGGGAAAGCAGGGGAUCUUCGGACCUUGCGCGAUUGAAUGAGCCGAUGUCGGAUUAGCUAGUUGGCGGGGUAAAGGCCCACCAAGGCGACGAUCCGUAGCUGGUCUGAGAGGAUGAUCAGCCACAUGAGAACUGAGACACGGUCCAGACGACUACGGGAGGCAGCAGUGGGGAAUAUUGGACAAUGGGCGCAAGCCUGAUCCAGCCAUACCGCGUGGGUGAAGAAGGCCUUCGGGUUGUAAAGCCCUUUUGUUGGGAAAGAAAAGCAGCAGGUUAAUACCACGCUGUUCUGACGGUACCCAAAGAAUAAGCACCGGCUAACUUCGUG
rnacentral:rRNA from 1 species